CCGCAUCGCCCGCGGCCAUCGCCACCGCCUCCAUCUGCUCAGCGCGUCACCUCCACGGCGCCUCCCUUCCCCCGCCGCCGCCGCCUCAGUCCUCCUCCCCUCCGCCGCCGGUGCCGCCGCCAAAAUCCCCCACCGCGCGCGCGCCACCUACUCCCUCUCCCUCUCCACCAGGUUCAGGCGAGGUAGUGAGCCCUAAUCCUAAGCCCUCAUUCCUCUCCCCCACCGCGCCGGCAUCAGCUCCACCCCGUUGUCACAAGUCUCCCCCACUGCUGGCAUCAGCGUCCUCUCCUCCCCUGGCUCCUCGUGUCCACGCCGCCUGCGGCUGCGCCAAAGUCCAAGGCGUCUAGGCGUCUAGCCCCGCUCGCACUCGCCAGGCCACACACCAUCUCCACUCUCCUGAACGCAGCAGCGUCCCCAGCCCCUGCCACUGAGGCGUUGUACUGCAUUGCGGACCUCAGGAGCACGGCCGCCACGCAGAUGGAAGCCCUCGAAGCGCUGCCGCGGCUAUGCCCAUCUCCCUCUCCCGCGCAUCCAAGGUGAACUUAUUUGGAAGAUUCCUUGUGCGGUGUGUACCGUUACUAUGUCGUCUCUUGUUGCAAUGUAUGUCACUAGAAUUAAGAGUUUAGAGGGUUGAUAUAUUAGGUAUGAUUUUACUUUUAUCAUCUUAUAGCACAAUUACACAAAUGGAUAUACUUCCUUCUCUUGCACAUUUUGGUAUUUUAGAAAGCAUAUAACAUUGGAGUAGUUAUUUUUGCCUGCUAAUAACAAUAAAUCUAUUAAAGUUUUUGUAUGAAAUUGUUACUAGUUAAUUUAUCAUAGUACUUAUUUCUAUAAGAAGUGUAUACCUGUAAAAAGUGGUCUGUGUAGCAUGUUGUAGGCCAUACUAUAUCCGAAAUGUUACUUUUGGAACAGAGGGAAUAUGUUCCUUAAUUCAAUUUACUGGGGAAAAAAAUGUUCACAUGAUGGAUUUUGCACAAACUGCCAUUCUGAGGGCUCAAAUAGAAUAUUUUCCUCAUGGCGUACUAAUCAAUCUUACAGGAUGACAUGAUAGAGUAUGCACAACUUCCUACCCUCUUUAUGCAUGCAAAUUAUUGAGUCUUAUGUGCACUUCUGGAAAAAGGAAAGAAAUGAGCAUGCAUGUGUCCUGUUGUGACCACACAAUCAAUUGCAUGCAUGUGAGCUGUGUGGCUGUGUUCAAAAUUGAAUCCGUAAAUCCAUUAUACACGUGUCUGUGUUCCGUACUGUUACUUCACAUGCGUCCAUGUAUAUUUCAUAAUAGCUAGAAGAUCCAAACAAAAGAUUCAUUGAAAGAUUCCUUUUUCAGAGUAAUGGGAGAAUUUUAAGCUUUUUUUUCCCAUCAAUGUGGAAAUUUCUUGUUUUCAUACUUUGUAAAAUUAAGGCAGGGACUUCUAGGAUAGCCUCUAAAUUAGUAUAAAGAAAGGUUAGUCUGGUUGAUUAGUGAUUAAUAAUUUGUUGGACUUCAAGGAAUCAUAUAACUUUUGCUAGGUACCCACUUGUAAAACAACUGAAUAUCAGGGUCGAUGUGAUGCAAGAAUCCAUUGGCUUAUGGGUGAAUAGUUGACCUGUAGUCUGUGUUGUCAUUGUUAAUCCUAGCUGAUUGAACGCGCUGAUGAAGCCUAGAGGGGGGGGGGUGGGUGAAUAGGCUGUCCCUGAAAACUUAAAAAUAAAUCGCAGCGGUAAAAUUCAAACAGACCCGGAACUUCCUGGUAAGGAAUUCCGGAACUUCCGGUCUCCCAGGCCCGGAACUUCCGGUGUUCUAAGACAGGAACUUCCGGGUAACAGAAUAGAGAAGAAAUUCAAAUUUCAAAACAAGAGACUAAGCCAAUCUUCACAAGAUGGUGCACAGGUAUUCUAAGCAGAGGAUAUAUCACAGAAUCAUCCACAGAAACAUCACAGAAAGAGACAAGAGCAAUUUUUUCCCGAAGUUCGGAUCUUGCGAUCCUACUCUCCGUUGAGGAGCUCCAAAGAGCUGGGUCUCGAUUAACCCCUUGCCUCACUUGUGCAAAAACCCUAGAGGAAAUCCACAGCCUUCAACCCCAAACACCCCUAGGCAAAUUUCUAGAAUUGAGUGACCACCAAGAUCCAACUCAACCUACUUCUAGAAAUCCACCACAAGUGUGGGUUGCUCUACUUGGAAAGCCUCUAGAAUCUCAGCACAAGAACUUCACUAACUUACCUCGUUCCCUUUCGGAGGAGAGGAAAUCCUUCACAAACUUACCCGGGACAUCCACAAUAUGCAACGGAUUCUCGCGGGCGACACCUAACCGUCUAGGAGAUCAUCUCCAAGAGUAAUAAGCACCGAGAUGAUAGCCCACGAGAUAUUCCAAGUGCUCACCCAAGAUCCUAGUCUUCACACCUCUCCAAAUCUUCUUCUCUCCCUCUCAAUCUCUCAUUCACACAUGAAUUAGGCUCUAGAUUGAGUGGAGAAGGCAAGAAACACUUGGGAGAGGCUAGCAAUAGCUCUAGGUUUGAAAAGUGAAAGUGGAAUGGCCAAGGAACGAGCUGUAUAUGUAUAACGGCUAGGUGACAUCAUCUAGCCGUUACUCACAAAUUUGAACUGGAAACUAGAUAGGAAGUUUCGGACCUGGAAGAUCGGAACUUCCGGACUACACUUAGGAAAAUCUUUUUCACAAGACCGGAACUUCCGGACCUGGAAGACAGGAAGUUCCGGACUUGCAUUUUUGGACAGAUGGAGUAUUUGCAAAAAUGACUCCUAGGGAAACUUGACACUUGGUUCACACUAAGAGCACUUGAUAUAUCUCAGAGCAUCACCUGGAACCCCUCUUAAUAGUACGGUUUUUCCUAAAAACUCGAUUUCAAAAGAUAAACUAUCCUAUGCACUUCUCGAGUUCCGGUCCGCUUUGAUUUUGUACUUUUUGGGGGUCUCCAAGCAUCCAUCUUCCACACCUUGGACUAAUGCACCUGAAAGUCACUCAAUGAACUCAUUAGUUCCUUAACCACAUUUGUCAUUAAUCACCAAAACCCACUAGGGGGAUUAAUGCACUUUCACUGAUAACUGAGGUCUAUGGGAGACCUAACUACAUAUCCCGAGAGCAUAUGGUUUCAACUUUAAAGAACCUCCUUGGGAGGUGGAACAGAGCGAGUUGAGCCCUCAUCCGUACGAGUACCGUUAAUAGAAGGAUAAGUGGCCUAAUCCUUUAAAGUUAUUAUUUGUCUGUUUUUUUACGACCGAUGUCAUAUACGAAAGAAUAUCCAAGAGUUUCUAUUAGUAUUGUCAUGACCAAAAUGCCGAUGAUGCUUGACAUCUUGACGUAAUGCCUAGGAAAUCCUAUGAAUGAAAUCAUGAGCUUAUUUGCGCAAAUAUAUAUUUGCAUUACAUGCAUGUGUUGAUUACGUUAGUUACUGAAUACAUAAAAUUUCAGUUUAUUACAUGUUUCGUAGGAAGAUGGCAUUAAUCAACUAGCCAGCUAAUAACAGAGAACAUGUUCUUG
rnacentral:lncRNA from 1 species